rnacentral:rRNA from 1 species
GAUUCGUCACACUAUCAUUAACUGAAUCCAUAGGUUAAUGAGGCGAACCGGGGGAACUGAAACAUCUAAGUACCCCGAGGAAAAGAAAUCAACCGAGAUUCCCCCAGUAGCGGCGAGCGAACGGGGAGGAGCCCAGAGCCUGAAUCAGCAUGUGUGUUAGUGGAAGCGUCUGGAAAGGCGCGCGAUACAGGGUGACAGCCCCGUACACAAAAGCGCAUGUGCUGUGAGCUCGAUGAGUAGGGCGGGACACGUGGUAUCCUGUCUGAAUAUGGGGGGACCAUCCUCCAAGGCUAAAUACUCCUGACUGACCGAUAGUGAACCAGUACCGUGAGGGAAAGGCGAAAAGAACCCCGGCGAGGGGAGUGAAAAAGAACCUGAAACCGUGUACGUACAAGCAGUGGGAGCACCCUUCGGGGUGUGACUGCGUACCUUUUGUAUAAUGGGUCAGCGACUUAUAUUCUGUAGCAAGGUUAACCGUAUAGGGGAGCCGGAGGGAAACCGAGUCUUAACCGGGCGUUAAGUUGCAGGGUAUAGACCCGAAACCCGGUGAUCUAGCCAUGGGCAGGUUGAAGGUUGGGUAACACUAACUGGAGGACCGAACCGACUAAUGUUGAAAAAUUAGCGGAUGACCUGUGGCUGGGGGUGAAAGGCCAAUCAAACCGGGAGAUAGCUGGUUCUCCCCGAAAGCUAUUUAGGUAGCGCCUCGUGAAUUCAUCUCCGGGGGUAGAGCACUGUUUCGGCUAGGGGGCCAUCCCGGCUUACCAACCCGAUGCAAACUGCGAAUACCGGAGAAUGUUAUCACGGGAGACACACGGCGGGUGCUAACGUCCGUCGUGAAGAGGGAAACAACCCAGACCGCCAGCUAAGGUCCCAAAGUCAUGGUUAAGUGGGAAACGAUGUGGGAAGGCCCAGACAGCCAGGAUGUUGGCUUAGAAGCAGCCAUCAUUUAAAGAAAGCGUAAUAGCUCACUGGUCGAGUCGGCCUGCGCGGAAGAUGUAACGGGGCUAAACCAUGCACCGAAGCUGCGGCAGCGAACGUAUCACCCAAGACAACUUUACGGAGUUGACGAUUGACGGAGCGAAGCGACGUCAAAGCGUUCAUUAAAGUCGAGUUGGCUUAGGGAUACGUUCGUUGGGUAGGGGAGCGUUCUGUAAGCCUGUGAAGGUGUGUCGUGAGGCAUGCUGGAGGUAUCAGAAGUGCGAAUGCUGACAUAAGUAACGAUAAAGCGGGUGAAAAGCCCGCUCGCCGGAAGACCAAGGGUUCCUGUCCAACGUUAAUCGGGGCAGGGUGAGUCGACCCCUAAGGCGAGGCCGAAAGGCGUAGUCGAUGGGAAACGGGUUAAUAUUCCCGUACUUGGUGUUACUGCGAAGGGGGGACGGAGAAGGCUAUGUUGGCCGGGCGACGGUUGUCCCGGUUUAAGCGUGUAGGUGUGUGUUCCAGGUAAAUCCGGUUCACUUUAACACUGAGGCGUGACGACGAGGCACUACGGUGCUGAAGCAACAAAUGCCCUGCUUCCAGGAAAAGCCUCUAAGCAUCAGGUAACACGAAAUCGUACCCCAAACCGACACAGGUGGUCAGGUAGAGAAUACCAAGGCGCUUGAGAGAACUCGGGUGAAGGAACUAGGCAAAAUGGUGCCGUAACUUCGGGAGAAGGCACGCUGACACGUAGGUGAAGUGAUUUACUCAUGGAGCUGAAGUCAGUCGAAGAUACCAGCUGGCUGCAACUGUUUAUUAAAAACACAGCACUGUGCAAACACGAAAGUGGACGUAUACGGUGUGACGCCUGCCCGGUGCCGGAAGGUUAAUUGAUGGGGUCAGCGUAAGCGAAGCUCCUGAUCGAAGCCCCGGUAAACGGCGGCCGUAACUAUAACGGUCCUAAGGUAGCGAAAUUCCUUGUCGGGUAAGUUCCGACCUGCACGAAUGGCGUAAUGAUGGCCAGGCUGUCUCCACCCGAGACUCAGUGAAAUUGAACUCGCUGUGAAGAUGCAGUGUACCCGCGGCAAGACGGAAAGACCCCGUGAACCUUUACUAUAGCUUGACACUGAACAUUGAGCCUUGAUGUGUAGGAUAGGUGGGAGGCUUUGAAGUGUGGACGCCAGUCUGCAUGGAGCCGACCUUGAAAUACCACCCUUUAAUGUUUGAUGUUCUAACGUGGACCCGUAAUCCGGGUUGCGGACAGUGUCUGGUGGGUAGUUUGACUGGGGCGGUCUCCUCCUAAAGAGUAACGGAGGAGCACGAAGGUUGGCUAAUCCUG